rnacentral:rRNA from 11 species
UAAAAAGCUCGUAGUUGGAUCUGUGUAUCGGACGGUCGGUUCGCCGCUCGCGGCGUUUAACUGACCGGUCCGGACGUCCUGCCGGUGGGCGGCGGGCCCUUCGCGGGGCUCGUCGUCCGUUAACCUUCCCUUCGGGCUGCUCUUAACCGAGUGGUCCGGUGGGCCGGCACGUUUACUUUGAACAAAUUUGAGUGCUCAAAGCAGGCCUCGAGUCGCCUGAAAACUGUGUGCAUGGAAUAAUGGAAUAGGGCCUCUUUUCUAUUUUGUUGGCUUUUCUGAAAUAGAGGUAAUGAUUAAUAGGGACAGACGGGGGCAUUCGUAUUGCGACGUUAGAGGUGAAAUUCUUGGAUCGUCGCAAGACGGACGGAUGCGAAAGCGUUUGCCAAGAAUGUUUUCGCUAAUCAAGAACGAAAGUUAGAGGUUCGAAGGCGAUCAGAUACCGCCCUAGUUCUAACCAUAAACGAUGCCAGCCAGCGAUGCGCCGACGUUCCUCCGAUGACUCGGCGCGCAGCUUCCGGGAAACCAAAGCUUUUGGGUUCCGGGG